CUUAAACUCAACAAUCAUUGUAAUAUCAAACCUGUUGUCAUCUGACAAAACAGAACACAGGUCCGCACUAACAGACGUAGUAGAUACACAUAAUAGAUACCCAGCAAAUAUGGGCACGCAACUAAACCAUACCCAUUCCAAAAUAAGUUAACAAAUUUCACACUCUGUGUCCUUCAGAAGAAGUUAGACAUAAGGUAGUUUCCCAUGCUGGUGACAUACCACAAAUGCAGUCCCAAACUAACACUUCCAAUUAAAUAUGCAACACCAUUC